rnacentral:rRNA from 1 species
CAAUGGACGAAAGUCUGACCGAGCAACGCCGCGUGAGUGAAGAAGGUUUUCGGAUCGUAAAGCUCUGUUGUAAGAGAAGAACGGGUGUGAGAGUGGAAAGUUCACACUGUGACGGUAUCUUACCAGAAAGGGACGGCUAACUACGUGCCAGCAGCCGCGGUAAUACGUAGGUCCCGAGCGUUGUCCGGAUUUAUUGGGCGUAAAGCGAGCGCAGGCGGUUAGAUAAGUCUGAAGUUAAAGGCUGUGGCUUAACCAUAGUACGCUUUGGAAACUGUUUAACUUGAGUGCAAGAGGGGAGAGUGGAAUUCCAUGUGUAGCGGUGAAAUGCGUAGAUAUAUGGAGGAACACCGGUGGCGAAAGCGGCUCUCUGGCUUGUAACUGACGCUGAGGCUCGAAAGCGUGGGGAGCAAACAGGAUUAGAUACCCUGGUAGUCCACGCCGUAAACGAUGAGUGCUAGGUGUUAGACCCUUUCCGGGGUUUAGUGCCGCAGCUAACGCAUUAAGCACUCCGCCUGGGGAGUACGACCGCAAGGUUGAAACUCAAAGGAAUUGACGGGGGCCCGCACAAG